rnacentral:rRNA from 1 species
CCUACGGUGAGCAGCAGUGGGGAAUAUUGGACAAUGGGCGAAAGCCUGAUCCAGCCAUGCCGCGUGUGUGAAGAAGGCCUUCGGGUUGUAAAGCACUUUCAGUGGGGAAGAAAGCCUUGGGGCUAAUACCCUCGAGGAAGGACAUCACCCACAGAAGAAGCACCGGCUAACUCCGUGCCAGCAGCCGCGGUAAUACGGAGGGUGCGAGCGUUAAUCGGAAUUACUGGGCGUAAAGCGCGCGUAGGCGGUCUGAUAAGCCGGUUGUGAAAGCCCCGGGCUCAACCUGGGAACGGCAUCCGGAACUGUCAGGCUAGAGUGCAGGAGAGGAAGGUAGAAUUCCCGGUGUAGCGGUGAAAUGCGUAGAGAUCGGGAGGAAUACCAGUGGCGAAGGCGGCCUUCUGGACUAACACUGACGCUGAGGUGCGAAAGCGUGGGUAGCAAACAGGAUUAGAUACCCGAGUAGUC